GGGUUUGGUAUAAAGUGACUGGAUCAUGGGGGUGGAUUUCUGAGGAAUGGUCUAGCACCAUCCCCCUGGUACUGUCCUGAUGAUAGUGAGUGAGCUCUCAUGAG